AAGAACCUUACCUGGUCUUGACAUGUACGGAAUCCUCCAGAGACGGAGGAGUGCCUUCGGGAGCCGUAACACAGGUGCUGCAUGGCUGUCGUCAGCUCGUGUCGUGAGAUGUUGGGUUAAGUCCCGCAACGAGCGCAACCCUUGUCAUUAGUUGCCAUCAUUUAGUUGGGCACUCUAAUGAGACUGCCGGUGACAAGCCGGAGGAAGGUGGGGAUGACGUCAAGUCCUCAUGGCCCUUAUGACCAGGGCUUCACACGUCAUACAAUGGUCGGUACAGAGGGUAGCCAAGCCGCGAGGUGGAGCCAAUCUCACAAAACCGAUCGUAGUCCGGAUUGCACUCUGCAACUCGAGUGCAUGAAGUCGGAAUCGCUAGUA
rnacentral:rRNA from 1 species